rnacentral:lncRNA from 1 species
CUGUGAGGUGCUGGGUGAUAUAGCCAGCCCUGCCUGCCCACCAGUGCCUGCAGGCCCAGUUUCUGACUCCAGGAGUACACGGGAAACUCCCAACGCUGGCCUCCUGACAUGAGCUUCAUCUAGUCUUCCAGAUCUCUCUGAGUUACAGCUCAAGUCCAAACCUUCUUCCAUUUCCCCAAGGGUGGUGAGGUUGAGUGGGCCCUGCUGGGGAAAUGAAAGAGCAAAUUCCAGGCAGUCUCUGCCCUGAAGAGACUGAGUGUGCAAGUCUGAGUCCUGGGAGAGCCCUGCCCGCAGGCCGCUGAGGACUGAGCCCUGGUGCCAGGCAGCCGGCUCUCCCACUCUCAUCUUGCAGGAGUGGGACCCCAAGGCAAACCCCUGGAAGCUGGAGCAAGAUGAGUCCUGGAGGAAUUGGGGGAAGGCCAGGACACAGAUGCAGGACGGAAGGGCACACUUUCAAAAGAACGCUUCCUGAGGGCUUUAUCCUCGGGCAGCUUCCUAACCCCAGGAGACCUGCAGCUGGGCAGCGCAGCACCCAGGGUUGAAACUUCUUAGGGGUGGGUAAGGGGACAAUGAGCUGGGUUCUUGAAAGUGGGGUCAUGAGGUCAUGGGGGACAGUGGGUGGACUGUGGAUAGGAUGGAGCUGUAUGGAGGCCAGCACAUGUUCCAGAGCCAAAAAGUCUUCUUUCUUCCUUCGGCUGGAUUUCUCUGGCAGCUCUCCACCUGCUCUCUGAGGUGAUGAAGCACAGAGGCGACCCACCCUCCCUGCUUCCUGGUAUGGCUGCUGGGCCCCUGUAAAGGCCUCAGCCCUCUCCACCCACCUCCAGGGGCCAAGGAUUUCACUUUAGUCCAGCUCCUUCUUCCCCAAGCCCAGGGCCUCUGUUUCCUCUUAGAGUCUCCACCCUUGGGGGCUCCCCUUGGGCUAGAUCUGGGAAGGAUACCAGAAGGAG